AGUGAACGCUGGCGGUAGGCCUAACACAUGCAAGUCGAACGGCAGCACAGGAGAGCUUGCUCUCGGGGUGGCGAGUGGCGGACGGGUGAGGAAUACAUCGGAAUCUACUUUUUCGUGGGGGAUAACGUAGGGAAACUUACGCUAAUACCGCAUACGACCUACGGGUGAAAGCAGGGGAUCUUCGGACCUUGCGCGAUUGAAUGAGCCGAUGUCGGAUUAGCUAGUUGGCGGGGUAAAGGCCCACCAAGGGGACGAUCCGUAGCUGGUCUGAGGGGAUGAUCAGCCACACUGGAACUGUGACACGGCCCAGACUCCUACGGGAGACAGCAUUGGGGAAUAUUGGACAAUGGGCGCAGGCCUGAUCCAGCCAUACCGCGUGGGUGAAGAAGGCCUUCGGGUUGUAAAGCCCUUUUGUUGGGAAAGAAAUCCAGCUGGUUAAUACCCGGUUGGGAUGACGGUACCCAAAGAAUAAGCACCGGCUAACUUCGUGCCAGCCGCCGCCGUAA
rnacentral:rRNA from 1 species